rnacentral:misc_RNA from 1 species
GAUGAAGAACGUAGCGAAAUGCAAUACUUGGUGUGAAUUGCAGAAUCCCGUGAACCAUCGAGUUUUUGAACGCAAGUUGCGCCCGAAGCCGUUAGGCCGAGGGCACGCCUGCCUGGGUGUCACACAUCGUUGCCCCAAUGCCAAUCGCCUCACUUUGUAGGUAUUUGCUUGGGGUGAAUGUUGGCCUCCCGUGAGUUUUGUCUCACGGUUGGUUGAAAAUCGAGUGCAUGGUGUCGGGUGUACCAUGAUGGAUGGUGGUUGAGUGAUGAUGCUCGGUGACCCACAUGCGUCCCUUGGAUGCUCCCUAAGGAGACCUCAGGUCAGGCGGGGCUACCCACUGAGUUUAAGCAUAUCAAUAAGCGGAGGA